GGCAGUUGGGUGUUUCUUGGAAAGAUCACUCCCCGUUGCUUUUCCCAUCUUUGCUUUUCCCAUCCUUUGCUUUUCCCAUCCUUCGCUCCUCCAUCCGCGGCCGUUACCCCAGCCCUCGAGCACCAGAAAUAGAAACUCGGAGGCUGGCGUCGAGGCUAGACAUGGACUCCGCGCCUGGCCCCUUCCAGAUCCCAGUUUUCUAAAGUGACUUCGCACCAAAGUCCGGGCUCCCUAAUUUAUGCGUUUUUAGACCCUUAAGCAUCAUUUUGUGGGCAACCAAACGGGCACUUCCAAAUUAGCUCAAAGUAUCCAAGCCCAGAGAAGAGAGAAAACACACAUACACUGAUAAAUACGCAGAUGCUAACUUGUAAGUAUUCUGUUUUUCCUCUGUGGGGAUGGAAAUUGAACAAGGGAAAGAGGGGGAACAUUUUUAUUUCCUAAAAUGUUUCCUACUGAGUUUGCACUUGUAAAGUUUUUUCUGCUUUCUUUCCCUUUGUGUGUGUUCUUACUCUCUUUCUCUCAGUAAAUAUCUCUGACUUAAGUUUAUUCUCCCAUCACUACCGUGAUCAAAAAGAAGAGAAAGACAAAAUAUCAAAACUUCCAAAUAUUUCUAGUUGUUCGCAACGGGUCUUUUUGUUGUUGUUGGAAAAAUAUAACCUGUUCAAGCGAUAUGAAAAUGGAUGCAGAAAUCAGAAAAGGGUGUGUGGAAUCGAUUUAAGUUUAACCUGACAGUACAUGUCUUGAAGGUCUUUUAUGAACUUGAAACACAUCGGCUAGGUCUUCAUCCUCACCUGCACUGGAAUUACCUACUUAAGAAAAACAAACUAAUGAUACACAAAGAAGCACUUAUGUACAAUAGAAGAGAAGUGUCAUCAACAUUGACAGUUCAAACGUAAAGAUCUUCUAAAUAGGGGUGAAAAAGAAAUCUUAAAGUUAUUUAUGGCUGCUCUCCUGCAUCUCUACAAGGUCUCGCUGUGUUGUCCAGGCUGGAAUGCAGCGG
rnacentral:lncRNA from 1 species